UCAUCAAGUUUUACGAACAUCACUGCUUUUCUGAUUCGGCAAGGCCCCAGACGAUUCAUAUAUCAAACGGACCAGGCAGACUGUUAUGACAACAAGUUUAAGUUGCUCUCCAGUUGCUUGUGGAACAAAUUUAUGAGAUGUGGCAGUCAAAAUUACAUAGUACUAGGCAUAGAAGAAUACAUAACUGUCUCAUGGGUUCGCGUGAGAGCUGUGCGAACUGAAAUAGAACCCUGGCUAAAUAACUCGUUCCCAUGGACCUACAUUGCACCAGCCGAGCUGUACUACAUUGGAGAUUUUCCUGAAGGGACUGCUCGUUCUCCCGACGGGUUAAAAGGACCACAGGUUGCCGACCUGCGCACCCAACGACUCCCAACUCCUGACGAUCUUCUCAAUGCUCCUAAAGACCAGUUUGCGAAAAUCGACAAGUGUGUGGCCAAAAGGAUCUUCGACAGCCUCAACGGAACCACCUGGAGGAGGACUCUCUCCUCUCCACGUUGUGACAUCUGGCAGACAAAUCACGCCCUUUUCACAGUAUGGACCUAUGAAUGCCCCGACCCGGACUUGGUCCCAACAGCAAAGCUCGCUCUGCAAGGCUGGUAUGAGGAUUAUUAUCGAAAGUGGGACUGGGAAUUUUGGGGAUUUCAACAAAGAGAAUUUCAAAACUGGGUGUUACCUUGUCUCAGUCAAUCAAAUAAUUAUUGGAUAAAAUAUCAGUAUGUUGCCACUGUCUACUCCAAAGAAGUCACCAUAUGGCCCGGAGCUUUCUGGAGACCCGAGCCAUAUGUGAACCCAAGACCCUGGCGCAUGACGUGUCGACGCAACAACACUGAAUGCGUCAUAGCAUUGGCCAGGAAACCUUGCCAAACGCUCAUAGGCUGGGAAGACUACUGCAAAGACCAUUACGCAGAAGAGUAUGACACCCAUUCAUCGGAGGUUACUUGGAGGAAGAUCAACGGAGUGUGGCGGAGAGCAAUCGUGAGUGGAAAGACAUGUACUGAUGCGAUCCUGGGCUAUCACCUCCAGAAGCGCAAAAGCAUCCUUAAUGCCCCCGUUCCCUUCAUCCCACACCCUAUCAUCGCCAUUGCGGAGGGGCAUGCAUUCCGGAAAAGUCUGUGCCAGGGUGAAGUAGACCAUGGGUUCGACUGGGUUGGACCUAACCUUAUGUAUUCUAACCUUACCUGCUAUGUGACCAAAGAGACAUGGCAGCAAUGUGGAGACGGAAAGAAUCAACAUGAAUGUUACUGGUAUGAGGUCCUGGGCUCCUCUGUGGCCACCGUAGUCACCGACGUUGUGGAAGGAGUUGCCGACGUGAUAGGGGGAGGGCUCUCUAUUGUCGAAGGUUGGAUACUCAGUGCCCUGAGUAUGUUGUGGCCAUACUUGCUAGGCCUCCUGGGCGUUGCCGUGGUUUUGAUCAUGGGCAAGGUCAUCGUGGAGGUGUGGCUGAAGGAACUUUGUCGUUGCAGGGGGAAGGACUAUAAGCCCCUCCCCCCCAAGGCGGAGCGUAAAUCCGCAUAAAAGACGGCUGCUAUGUGCCUACGAGCCAUUCCUCUUCACGGCUGCGGUGGGGACCUGACCUGAAGAACAACCAUCAUCAGAGAUCAUGGCAUCUAACUCAUCUACUAACUCUUCUACUCCGACAUCACUCUUUGCGCCUAUUCAAGUACCGAUCUGCUGUGUGGGGUGUGGAAUCCCCGCAGAAUCCUAUGGAUUCCUUUGGGUUGCAUCGUCAACUCGGUGGUGUCACAAGUGUGUGCACACUCACUUUAGCUAUGUAACGGCUCUCUUCUGCGUCGAAGGACGUGGGGCCCCGUACAUUGCGGCUUCUACAUCUAGAAUCCUGGAGCGAGACCACAAGAUCGUGUGGACCUCUGCCUGGGGCCAAGACGACAACGAGCUAUCAUCGUCCAAACUGGGCAAUGGGCGGCUGUACCCCAUUGUUAGGAAAUUGUGGGAGAACCAAGUGUCCCGUCGUUGCCUACCUACUCUUCAUCUUUUGAAUGGCAAGGUGGUGGCUGUGGGAGAGUAUAUUCCCCCUGUUUGUCCAGUAUCUCCGGAUAUGUUCGUCGACGUCGGAACCCAAACUAGCACAGCAACACAGGAUCAGUGUUCCCAAACUGAGUUACUCAGUUCAUCUCACCAACCCUGCCAGACGACUGACACCGGUUCUUCAUCAUCCACCUACGAGGAAGAAUUCCAGGAGCUGUUGGCAGAGUUAUGUCUCCCAACACCUCCCCAAGAGGUGACUGUGGCUGGUUCUGCCCCAGCUCCUCCACCUCGGCCGAGUCCCCCACAUCUUCAGCCCCAGCCCUGCUCUACAUCUGACGAAGAUAUGGACACGGAUGUCUUGCUCCCACCACCGUCGAAUCUCACGGAGUACGACAUUGUGGAUGCGUGGACACCGUCUCCCUCUCCUACGUUCAUCGCUGAAGAAGAUGUCCUCUUUCUUUGCUGUGAUGAUGGACUGGACAACGGCCUUGACCUCUUUUGAGUAGGGCUGUGCGUGUUCUGCUGAGCACUGUCCGAUCUCAAGGAGGGGGUGUCAAGAACUCUGGUAUGAAAAUGUAUGUAAAUUUGAGAUCAGUCCAGGCACAUGCAGAACAACGGAUCAUAAAGUACCUAGAAGAUUGUGGCAGCCCUGUAUGUUGAUUAAAAAUGAUUGCUUAUUGUGUACUCUUUGUAUGAGAAUGUGUUCUCUGUAUUCUAUUGAUGUUGUAACAAGAGAAUAGAAUUGAAACAUCUAAUGUACUAAUGUUUUAUAUGAUUUUAAUGAUUGAAGUAACUUGUAUGAUUAAAAGUUACAUACAGAAUAAGGAGAAGUAAGGUUGGGGUGCUGAGGCUGACACAUGCUGUUAUUGCAACUCGGAAAGUCCCAGAAAGUCCUAGGCUAUGACACAUACAGCUAUAGCAACUCGGAAAGCCCCAAAAAGGCCCAAACACAUGGUUUUGCAAUGAGGUCAUUGUGUCUCAAGCGGGAGUCUAUUGCUCUCGGAAAGUCCCAAGAUUCACAAGCACAUUACCUCACAAGUGAGUCAUAGUGCCCAAAUUUGCAGAUGGGCGGGUUGCGCAACUAUGAAGCAGAGCACAAACUGCUCUUUGUCUUUCUCUCUCUCCCUCCCUCGGUGUACUCCCCAGGGAGGGAGAAAAGUAUAAAAACAUGAGACCGAGGUGAUACGGUGUUCUUCGUUCCCGGCGCUGAGACUCUACACAAGAGCGGCAAGAAGACCAGCAGAGGACUACACCCUGGAACCAAGAAAAGCGCCUCACAAGGAGGACAACGGAGCUCCUCACGCCGGACCAAAGGGCGAGUUCCACCAACCCAAUCUCUUGGUUCCUCAUUGGAUUUCCACACUCUGCACUCAACUCCACGAUCUCAAAAUACAUCGCAACGGACUUGGGGAACUGAACAAAAGUCACAGGAUUGAUCGCGAGCUGUUCGGCUGGAUGGCAGACAGUUCAUUUUGUUUCGGUUCCGAAGAGGAUUUUAUGAUUCAAAGACAAAGAUUCUGACCAAGGACUACAAGGAUUUCUGUUGCCCUGAUCCAAUCCCACCGAUGAGUAUGAGAUUCUGCCGCACCCCAAAGCCUUAUCUGAUAGAAAGAUGACAGUGUAGGGAAGUUUUUAGAGAAAGGUUGAAUUAAUCUAAAUUUUAUUAAUUUCUUUUGUAUGGUAAUCCUAGAGCAAAUUCUGUAUACCUGUCUUUUCCCCUGCCAAAGCUUGCUUAAUAAAUACAUAUAUCUUAAAAUUCUGA